rnacentral:rRNA from 1 species
CAGUCGCCGCGGGAAUACGAAGGGUGCAAACGUUAAUCGGAAUUACUGGGCGUAAAGCGUGCGUAGGCGGUUUGUUAAGUCUGUUGUGAAAUCCCCGGGCUCAACCUGGGAAUGGCAAUGGAUACUGGCAAGCUAGAGUGUGUCAGAGGAUGGUGGAAUUCCCGGUGUAGCGGUGAAAUGCGUAGAGAUCGGGAGGAACAUCAGUGGCGAAGGCGGCCAUCUGGGACAACACUGACGCUGAGGCACGAAAGCGUGGGGAGCAAACAGGAUUAGAUACCCCCGUAGUCCCUGUCUCUUAUAC